ACACGACUACAUUAGAUACCCGUGUAGUCCCAGCCCUAAACGAUGCGCGUUAGGUGUAUCGGUGACCACGAGUCACCGAGGUGCCGAAGGGAAACCGUGAAACGUGCCGCCUGGGAAGUACGGUCGCAAGGCUGAAACUUAAAGGAAUUGGCGGGGAGCACCACAACGGGUGGAGCCUGCGGUUUAAUUGGACUCAACGCCGGAAAUCUCACCGGAUAGGACAGACAUAUGAUAGUCGGGCUGAAGACUCUACUUGAUGAUCUG
rnacentral:rRNA from 1 species